rnacentral:rRNA from 1 species
UGGUUUUCUGCGAAAAUUGUUUUGGCAAAUUGUUUAUGAAUGUAUAAAUAGUGGGUAUAGCACUGAAUACUUUGAGGGAGUAUUGUUAUAUUUAUCUCGAGUGUUUAAUCUCAAAAUAACUAUUUAUUUUAUGUAAAUAAUCAGACUAUUUGCGAUAAGGUAGAUAGUCAAAAGGGAAACAGCCCAGAACAGGUAUUAAAGCUCCCCAAUUAAUAUUAAGUGAGAAUUUCCAAGCUCCCCAAUUAAUAUUAAGUGAGAAUUCCC